UACGUAGGGUGCGAGCGUUGUCCGGAAUUACUGGGCGUAAAGCGCACGUAGGCGGAUUUGUAAGUCAGGGGUGAAAUCCCGGGGCUCAACCUCGGAACUGCCUUUGAUACUGCAAAUCUCGAGUCCGAUAGAGGUGGGUGGAAUUCCUAGUGUAGAGGUGAAAUUCGUAGAUAUUAGGAAGAACACCGGUGGCGAAGGCGGCCCACUGGAUCGGUACUGACGCUGAGGUGCGAAAGCGUGGGGAGCAAACAGG
rnacentral:rRNA from 1 species